CCACCGCUGCCUGUCCCACUGCCCGGCAGACGCCACGGAGAGGCUACCACCGCAGCCCCUGACCCUGAGACAGACCCGCCAAGCGCCUGCCAUGGACGCCGCCGAUGCCGCCCGGAGCAACGGGGCCAGCCCGGAGGCCAGGGAAGCCCGCAGCCUGCCAGGCCCCGUGGGCAGCCCUGAGAACGGGGCCAAGGCGGACAGUAAAGACGCCAAGACCACCAACGGGCACAGCGGGGAGGCGGCUGAGGGCAAGAGCCCGGGCAGCACCCCGAAGCCAGGGGAGGGGAAGAGCACCCUGUUCCUGGGGAGCGAGUGGCGGCGGCCCAUCAUCCAGUUCGUGGAGUCGGUGGACGACAAGGGCCCCAACUACUUCAGCAUGGACUCUGGGGACGGCAAGCGGUCCCCCUACGCUGGGCUGCAGCUGGGGGCCGCCAAGAAGCCACCGGUCACCUUCGCCGAGAAGGGGGAGCUGCGCAAGUCCAUCUUCUCGGAGCCCCGCAAGCCCGCCCUGGCCAUCGGGGAGCCCGGGGACGCCAGGAGGCACAGCUCCCCCCGGGCGGGCCCGGGCAGCCUGCCGCGCGCCAAGCCGGGCGCCGAGGAGGUCCUGUGCGACUCCUGCAUCGGCAACAAGCAGAAGGCGGUCAAGUCCUGCCUGGUGUGCCAGGCCUCCUUCUGCGAGCUGCACCUCAAGCCGCACCUGGAGGGCGCCGCCUUCCGCGACCACCCGCUGCUGGAGCCCAUCGGCGACUUCGAGGCCCGCAAGUGCCCGCUGCACGGCAAGACCAUGGAGCUCUUCUGCCAGACGGACCAGACCUGCAUCUGCUACCUGUGCAUGUUCCAGGAGCACAAGAACCACAGCACUGUGACCGUGGAGGAGGCCAAGGCCGAGAAGGAGACAGAGCUGUCCCUGCAGAAGGAGCAGCUGCAGCUCAAGGUCAUCGAGCUCGAGGACGAAGCAGACAAGUGGCAGAAGGAGAAGGACCGCAUCAAGAGCUUCACCACCAACGAGAAGGCCAUCUUGGAGCAGAGCUUCCGGGAGCUGGUGAGGGACCUGGAGAAGCAGAAGGAGGAGGUGCGGGCCGCGCUGGAGCAGCGGGAGCAGGACGCUGUGGGCCAGGUGAAGGUGAUCGUGGACGCCCUGGACCAGCGGGCCCAGGUGCUGCAGGAGGACAAGCAGACCCGGGAGCAGCUGCACAGCAUCAGCGACUCGGUGCUCUUCCUGCAGGAAUUUGGCGCUUUGAUGAGCAAUUACUCCCUGCCCCCGCCCCUGCCCAGCUACCGUGUGCUGCUGGAGGGGGAGGGCCUGGGGCAGGCGCUGGGCAACUGCAGGGACGACCUGCUGAACGUGUGCAUGCGCCACGUGGAGAAGAUGUGCAAGGCCGACCUGAGCCGCAGCUUCAUCGAGAGGAGCCACGCGGAGAACGGGGUUGACCAUCGCUACAUGAGCAACUAUGCUAGCAGCUACGGCAGUGACUGGAGCGCGCCCGACACCAUGAAGCGGUAUUCCAUGUACCUCACGCCCAAGGGGGGGGCCAGGACGUCGUACCAGCCCGUGUCCCCCAGCCGCCUCCCCAAGGACAUCAACCAGAAGAACUUCAAUAAUCUCUAUGGCACCAAAGGUAACUACACGUCGCGAGUCUGGGAGUACUCCUCCACCGUGCAGGGCCCCGAGGACCUGCCCCUGCCCGGGCUCCAAGGCAGCUCCUCCUUCUCUCUGAAAGCAGGCCCUGGGCGGCCCCCCUACCACUUCCCCACCUUGGGACAGGCCACCACAGAGUUCCCCAAGCCGGUGGACACCAAUGAGCUGUUUAAAAUUAGUCCCGGCUACCCCUCCCUCAUGCGGAGCCAGAGCCCCAAGGUCCAGCCCCAGACUUGGAAAUCUGGCAAACAGACUUUGCUGACCUGGCAGGAGAGGUCGCUGGCUCUGUCCUGAAAGGUGCUUCCUGAGUCCCGAGGAGGAGCCAGGAUGGAAGAGGAGGGGCUGAGACGCCGUGGUCCCUGCUGGGCUGGGGCGGGCGCAGGCCUCUCUCUACCGCCUCUGUCAGGAGAUUCAGGCAAAGGGAGCAGCAAACAUCCAAAGCCCUCGAGACCCUGAAGUGGUUUGGAGAAAUGGGUGGGGAUGGUGGGUGCACGGGACCAGACUGCUGGGCCUGGCGUCCCGGUUCCUCUACUUACCAGCUGUGACCGGGGCAAAUCGCUUAGCCUCGCAGCGCCUCGGUUUGUUCACCUGGAGAGUGGGCGUGAGAGCAGUAGCCCAGGUAACGGGUGGCGGCUGCAAUCCUACAAGUCCGUGUGUGAGCAGCGUGUGGCUCUGCGGAGUAGAGAGCCCUGCAGAGCGAGAGCUGCAAUGGCUGGGAGGCCCUGGGCCAUGGAGGGAAUUGGACGAGGGGCUGAGGUUCAAGCUCACCAACCAAUGGAGGGAAAUAAACUCUAAUUAGGAUUUGAACCUGGAAACUGACAUGGGCACCCGAUCCUGAUCACAGCAUAGAUCGAGCUUGCAGUCUCACCACCGGCCAUUCUACGUCAACAAAGGCAACGGGAUUGGCUCCAACGAGGCCCCGUGAGCUCCAGAGGGAACGAGGCACCCCCC